rnacentral:rRNA from 1 species
AUUGAACGCUGGCGGCAGGCCUAACACAUGCAAGUCGAGCGAGCGGCGGACGGGUGAGUAAUGUAUGGGGACUGCCCGAUAGAGGGGGAUAACUACUGGAAACGGUGGCUAAUACCGCAUACUAUCGGAUAACCCAUAUGGGAUUAGCUAGUAGGUGGGGUAAAGGCUCACCUAGGCGACGAUCUCUAGCGGGUCUGAGAGGAUGAUCAAGCACACGGUGACUGGGACACUGCCCAGACUCCAACGGAGGCAGCAGAGGGGAAUGUUGCACAAGGGGCGCAAGCCUGAUGCAGCAAGGCCGCGUGUAUUAAGAAGGCCUUAGGGUUGUAAAGUACUUUCAGCGGGGAGGCGUUACCCGCAGAAGAAGCAACGGCUAACGCCGUGCCAGCCGCCGCGGUAAUAG